rnacentral:rRNA from 1 species
GAUGAACGCUGGCGGCGUGCCUAGUACAUGCAAGUCGAGCGAACAGACGAGGAGCUUGCUCCUCUGACGUUAGCGGCGGACGGGUGAGUAACACGUGGAUAACCUACCUAUAAGACUGGGAUAACUUCGGGAAACCGGAGCUAAUACCGGAUAAUAUAUUGAACCGCAUGGUUCAAUAGUGAAAGACGGUUUUGCUGUCACUUAUAGAUGGAUCCGCGCCGCAUUAGCUAGUUGGUAAGGUAACGGCUUACCAAGGCGACGAUGCGUAGCCGACCUGAGAGGGUGAUCGGCCACACUGGAACUGAGACACGGUCCAGACUCCUACGGGAGGCAGCAGUAGGGAAUCUUCCGCAAUGGGCGAAAGCUUGACGGAGCAACGCCGCGUGAGUGAUGAAGGUCUUCGGAUCGUAAAACUCUGUUAUUAGGGAAGAACAAAUGUGUAAGUAACUAUGCACGUCUUGACGGUACCUAAUCAGAAAGCCACGGCUAACUACGUG